CUACGUGCCAGCAGCCGCGGUAAUACGUAGGGUGCGAGCGUUAAUCGGAAUUACUGGGCGUAAAGCGAGCGCAGACGGUUACUUAAGCAGGAUGUGAAAUCCCCGGGCUCAACCUGGGAACUGCGUUCUGAACUGGGUGACUAGAGUGUGUCAGAGGGAGGUAGAAUUCCACGUGUAGCAGUGAAAUGCGUAGAGAUGUGGAGGAAUACCGAUGGCGAAGGCAGCCUCCUGGGAUAACACUGACGUUCAUGCUCGAAAGCGUGGGUAGCAAACAGGAUUAGAUACCCUGGUAGUCCACGCCGUAAACGAUGAGUGCUAAGUGUUGGAGGGUUUCCGCCCUUCAGUGCUGCAGUUAACGCAUUAAGCACUCCGCCUGGGGAGUACGACCGCAAGGUUGAAACUCAAAGGAAUUGACGGGGACCCGCACAAGCGGUGGAUGAUGUGGAUUAAUUCGAUGCAACGCGAAGAACCUUACCUGGUCUUGACAU
rnacentral:rRNA from 1 species